UACGGGGGGAGCAAGCGUUGUUCGGAUUUACUGGGCGUAAAGGGCGCGUAGGCGGUCGUGACAAGUCACUUGUGAAAGCCCCCGGCUCAACUGGGGAGGGUCACGCGAUACUGAUCGACUGGAAGGCAGGAGAGGGUAGUGGAAUUCCCGGUGUAGUGGUGAAAUGCGUAGAGAUCGGCAGGAACACCCAGGGGGAAACCAGUCGACUGGGCAUCUACUGACGCUGAGGUGCGAGAGCGUGGGGAGCGAACCGG
rnacentral:rRNA from 1 species